UGUAGGAGCGGGCUUGCCUGCGAUGGCGCCACCUCGGUUUGAUUGAGCGACCGAGUCGCCUGGAUCGCAGGCAAGCCAGCUCCCACA
rnacentral:antisense_RNA from 1 species